rnacentral:lncRNA from 1 species
AAAGAAACAAAAUAUAUAAUGUUAAAAAUUAGUAACAUGACAAAAAGCCAUACACAAUAUUAGUUUUAAGAGACAAUUAUAUAAACACAAAGCAAAUAAUACACGGAAAAUUGAGUACAAAAGAAAAGAUCCAGUAGGCAACAUAAUACAAUGACCAUCUUGAAUUUGUGAAAAAUGGGUAGCUUACCUGCUAAUCAAAAUUAAUCAGAAAACAGGCCCAACAGAAAUGAGUAAAAAAAUAGACAACCCUCACAUAUUCUUUCUCCUAAUUAGACCGAAAAUCUUCCACAUAAAAAAGGAAAUACUUUAAUUAUAAUUGCCCCACAAAUCAUCAAACUUUUCCGAACUAUUUGUGAUGACCUAAAGAAACAAGUUAAGCCCAAUUUGGAUUCAAUAAACUGAUCGAACAAGUUGGUUUUUAUGAAAAAUCCACUUUGGUAGAUUAUCUGCACCUAGAAAAUUUUGAUGUCUGAUAUGCUAUAGACUUUGAGGCAUUAAAAAGUCUCGUUUGACUUGACCCAGACUUAAAACUUGUGAUGUAUUACUUGCACCCCUGCUGAAAGUUUGAAUGCUGAUUAUGCUAAUGAUGCCUGAGACUUGUGGAGCUGUAGCAGAGCAGGCACAGGGGAAAAUAUUGCAAUUCCUUCCAAAGAUGGUAGCAAGGCCCAUGAGUAUGAUUGUGGAUAGCAUAUCAAAGGCGAUGGUAUCCAAAGUUCGCACCAAUGGAAGCAUCCUGUGUAUCAGGAACUCAAGACAAAACUAAUUAGAAUUGCAAUCAAAAUUCCCCCUUCUACCAAGGAAUGACGCAAAAGAUUGUAAAUUUAAGGUUCAUUUUAUCAAUUUAAAUCCUGGUGUAAACAGUAUAGUUUCAUUCUUUAUAAUUAGCUCAGACUUAAUGGAGAAAAUAUUUAAAGAAAUGAAACUGGAACAGUAGACUCAAGGAAAGAGUUGGGCCUUUUCCCUUUUUGAGAACGGUCCACCGGUAUGGGGUCUCUGAGGAAUGGUGGAUGGUUAAAAAAAAAAGGUUAAAUUACAAGAUUAAAAAUUUAUACGAAACAAGACUGAAAAAAGACCAAAUGGGGAAUUACUGUAAGACUAGAUUCAGGUAGAAUCCUGAAAACUACAUCCACCGCUGUCUAGUGUGUACAGUAAAGAAAUCGUGCACAGGUCCACACUUGCAGACGUGUUAGGAUCUGCCUAUAUCUAAUAAUUUCAAAUAGGUCUUGGUUAUGGUAGAUGCCUACAUCAAAUAUUGUUUCCUUGGUCUACCUAAAUCCGUGACUGCUUCUGAAACGAAAGACUAUUCAUAUCUAAUUUUGGUACUGCUGGAAAGAUUAUCAUGAUGGUGUAUCAAAUUUUAGGAAUACUUCGUUGCCAAAAUACCUGGAAUAUCAAAUACCAUUAUGUUACAACAGACCUACAUUACAGAAACGAUCAGGUGGAGCGAUACAUGCGUAAUAUCAUGAACAUGAUAAGGAUUAAAAAUAAGGUAAAAUCAGAAUGGUCAAGUGGAAAAUUCAGCUAGUAUUGAAUGCUACGAUUCAAAAAUCCACAGGUGUCUCCAAUGACGCUACUGUUGAGAGUGCAAUGUUUCACUCCUUUAAUAGAGGAUGUUCUUAAGGACCUUUCACGGGGCCUAGGUCCUAUUCAAAAGAAAGUGCUAGAUAGACGCUAUUACAGUUUUUUUUCUUCUUCUCGUAAAAAAUUUAAUAAAACUUAAAAAGGGGCGGGACAAACCGAGAUGAGAAGCAGGAAGCAAUUCACGGCCUGCAACCCGGAGGGCACUGGGUUCGAGGCUAGUGGGCUCCAGGUUCGAGAUUGGAAAAAAAAAGCAAGCAGCAGUCAGUCCGAGAUAGACGAUCCAAAUAAGAGGUGGUCUCUGCGAGGAAAUGAAAAUAUUUUUAAAAAAGUGUGUCUGUGGCUUGUGUUGGGUGUGAUCCCAGUGGUGCUGAUCUAUGGGUGCGGAGAGUUCCUCCGAAGAGGUGCUGAUCCCAGUGGGCACAGCACAGCCUAAGUGGAAGAGUGAUCCCUUGAGUUGGUUCAUUUCCAAUUUCUUUAUCAGGCCUGAUAAUUCGGGUCUAAAGACAUUAGUUGCAAGUUUCAACCUAUAAUUAGUUUAAUUUUAAAAAGAAUUUGUAAAUUUAGAUAUAAAUAGUUGUUAUUAGUAUUCAUUUUUUUCAAUUGUAGUUUAAACCCUAAGUAAGCUAAACACCCUAAGAUUUCUUGUGUUAACAAAUUAACUCCGGUAGAAGAAGGAAGAAUUUCAUUAUUUAGUUCCCAUAUCAUAACCCUGGGUGGAAGCGCCACUUCAUCAGAAAGAAGAGAAGCAAGAAACGCUACAUCGGUCGUCUGGGAUCUAACACAAGAACUGUUUCUGUCCUUCCUUUUCCCUUUCUUUUUUUCUAUUGUUCUACUUUUCUCCUCUUUUUUUCUGGUUUCGGUAUUUAUCCUUCUGCAAAAAUACCGUGGCGCUCAACAUAACAUCUGUAAAUAAACUUGCACCCCCUCACCGACCAUCACUUUCUCUCCCUUCAACACGCUACUGCCAACGUACGUGCAGCCACAAUAAGGAAGAUGUAACAACGCGGUGCUCAGUGCAAAACACUACAACUCCACAAGUCUUAAAAGGAGAGACUCGUUUAAUAUCUUCAUAAGCGAGUUCGUAGCGUGCAUCGAAAUUCAAGAUAUGCACAUAUGUAAAACGUUGGGACCCUACAAAGUUCUUUCGUGCUUGGAUUACAAUAAAUUCAAGAUAAAGAAGGUCAGUUCAAAUAUGGUAACAAAGACUGCUAAGGAACUAUUACGUCAAUGGCCAAAAAAUGGUCACUAACUAGUGACAUCUGAGCUAUUAGUCCUAUUCGAAGCAGAGGAAAUGGUGGAACAUCCCAAACCAGAUUAUAAUCAAAGUUGGUCGAUAACUGAACAACCUCAUAAAUCUUAAGCUAUGGUGACAGCUGCAGCACCAUCAAAAGCAAUACUAUACUAUUUUCUCUUACUCAAUACUGUGAAUUUUUUUCUAGGAACACGUCUUGGGCUAUGUUGGAAUCGAUCAUGUCAGUCUGAUAAUCUUGAAGACAGGACAGGCUGGAUACUCAGUGUCCCUACUCACUACUGUGGUGGGGAAAUAUUAAAAAGAAAAUUUUGACUACAGAGAAUAUUGUAUGGACUGCAAUCAGGGAGAUUUAGAUUUUUCCUUCGCUAUUGAAGAGUUUUGGAGAGAGAAAGAUUUAAAAAACCUGGACAACAAAAGAAGACAGAAAGACAAGCGAGCAGACGAAGAGAGAAUUGAGAGCAUUCUGAUUUAAGAUGCGCAUUGCGAUCAGACCUCACCUAACCUCGACCUGCAUUGCGUCAAAUUAUAUACUUCCUUUCAUUUGUAAUCACACUCAUUUUAAUUAUUUUCUCAAUGUGUAGA